rnacentral:rRNA from 1 species
CUCCGUGUGCCGCUCCCAAUCAACCCGCGUUUGCCCCAGCCUCCUAUCGCACGGAAACGGAGUCCUGCUGGGGUCUCCUUAACUGGGGGUUCCAGCGCUUCCGCGCACAACGUGCGCUUACGGACCGUCCGUGGACGUUACUGUGAACAAAACAGCGUGUUCAAAGCAAGUGGCUUGCCUGCCCUGCAUGUUAAAGCAUGGAAUAACAAGGCAUCGACCACUCGGCGGUGCUUUUGUUGGUCUUUCCCUCCCGGUGGGAAUGCGCAGGMGUGCACACUGCCGGCCUUCUGGCCGGUCUGGGUGCCGUCUCUUCGAGAUCAAUAGGGGCAAACGGGGAGAUACCUAUUGUGGGGAGAGCGGUGAAAUGCGAUGACCCCCAUAAGAGGAACUUCAGCGAAAGCAGUUCUCAAGACUGCCUUCGUUAAUCAAGAACGAGACUGUGGGGAUCAAAGAUGAUCAGAUACCGUCGUAGUCC